rnacentral:hammerhead_ribozyme from 1 species
AUUCAGCUGACGAGCCCUAAAUAGGACGAAACGCGCGUGCAGGAU